CGGGGCUCAAUGCCUUGUAAUUGGAAUGAUGGGAAUCUAAACCCCUUCCAGAGUAUCAAUUGGAGGGCAAGUCUGGUGCCAGCAGCCGCGGUAAUUCCAGCUCCAAUAGCGUAUAUUAAAAUUGUUGCAGUUAAAAAGCUCGUAGUUGAAUUUCUGCCGCCCCGACGAGACCCCACGGGCCCGACGCCGCGGCUUAUUUCGGACUUGCGUGCAUCUCCGAAUGUUUACUUUGAGAAAAUUAGAGUGCUCAAAGCAGGCCCUUGCCUUGAAUACUUUAGCAUGGAAUAAUAAAGUAGGACUUUGGUUCUAUUUUGUUGGUUUAGCACCAAAGUAAUGGUUAAUAGGAACAGUUGGGGGCAUUCGUAUUUAACUGUCAGAGGUGAAAUUCUUAGAUUUGUUAAAGACGAACCACUGCGAAAGCAUUUGCCAAGGAUGUUUUCAUUAAUCAAGAAC
rnacentral:rRNA from 1 species